GGCCACUCAGUGUUAUGACCCCGAAAACUCCGCCUCUCGUUACACAUUACUCCCGGAUCAACCCGAUUCCGGCCACCGGAAGUCCCUUAAAAUCAUCUCCGGCAUUUUCCUCUCCGUUUUCCUUUUGCUUUCUGUAGCCUUCUUUCCGAUCCUCAACAACCAGUCACCGGACUUGCAAAUCGACUCCCGUUCGCCGGCGCCGCCGUCAAGAGGUGUUUCUCAGGGAGUCUCCGAUAAAACUUUUCGAGAUGUAGCCGGUGCUAGUCACGUUUCUUAUGCGUGGUCCAAUGCUAUGCUUAGCUGGCAAAGAACGGCUUACCAUUUUCAACCUCAAAAAAAUUGGAUGAACGAUCCUAAUGGACCAUUGUAUCACAAGGGAUGGUACCACCUUUUUUAUCAAUACAAUCCAGAUUCAGCUAUUUGGGGAAAUAUCACAUGGGGCCAUGCUGUAUCCAAGGACUUGAUCCACUGGCUCUACUUGCCUUUUGCCAUGGUUCCUGAUCAAUGGUAUGAUAUUAACGGUGUCUGGACAGGGUCCGCUACCAUCCUACCCGAUGGUCAGAUCAUGAUGCUUUAUACCGGUGACACUGAUGAUUAUGUGCAAGUGCAAAAUCUUGCGUACCCCGCCAACUUAUCUGAUCCUCUCCUUCUAGACUGGGUCAAGUUCAAAGGCAACCCGGUUCUGGUUCCUCCACCCGGCAUUGGUGUCAAGGACUUUAGAGACCCGACUACUGCUUGGACCGGACCACAAAAUGGGCAAUGGCUGUUAACAAUCGGGUCUAAGAUUGGUAAAACGGGUGUUGCACUUGUUUAUGAAACUUCCAACUUCACAAGCUUUAAGCUAUUGGAUGGAGUGCUGCAUGCGGUUCCGGGUACGGGUAUG
rnacentral:misc_RNA from 1 species